UGGGUACCAGUAAGCUAGGAAGAGUCUUG
rnacentral:piRNA from 1 species